AUGUGCCGUGUUGGUGUAAAGCCAGAGCCAAAGUUCAUCAAGUGGAAUGUAGAUGCGCCAUAUUAUACCGAUGAGGGCGUUGGAGCAACUGUUGCUGUUUUGAGAGAUGGAAAAGGAACUUUUUUGGUGUCCCAAUGUAAGUUUAUUCCCAUUGCAGCAGAUGUGGUUACCAUUGAAGCUCCGGCCAUAAGAGAUUGUCUAGUUUUUGCUAAUAAUAUGGGAUUCCACCGGGUUGAGGCUGAGUCAGACAUGAGAGAUGUCAUAAAAUUUUGUAAUGGACAGACAAGAUGGUGGGACGCGGUAGCAGCUAUUUUUGUGGAGUGCAUUGAUGCUGGUGCAACAAUUGGGAAGGUCAAGUUUAAGCAUUGUAAUAGAUCGGCAAAUCAAGCGAAGCAUGUGCUAGCUAAGUUUAGUUAUUGUAAUAAAUUCUCUAGCUCAUGGUUGGAUGAUCCUCCGGGUUGUCUAGUUAACAAACUCAUAGACGAUGUAUCUUUAUUUGAUGAUCAAUAA
rnacentral:rRNA from 1 species